CUCUAUAUCUCUGCCCCAAUGAACCUCCAAGAACAACUACAAACAACACCUUGAACGGAAGUUACAAGCGAAAGAAUCUGGAAUCUCAGAACGCAGAAAAAUGAAUGCAAAGGGAGGAUUUCGGAGAAGCAGGGGACGGAUGAAGGCAGCGGAGAAAGAAUUUCUAUAACGACAACGAAUGAUUCCUAAAGACGUUAAUACAAAAGAAUGAAAGAAUGUUGAAGGAAAUAAUCGAUUUCAAAACAUGGCUCAAAAGGGAGGACGAUCACCCGCGAACCAGAAACCCAGAAGAACCCUCUGAUCGGAAACCCCAGGAAACCCACAUGGACUCUCCCCCUGCGGAAACUCCGGCAGCCCUCAGCAGAUCGAAGCCACGAACGCGACCCAGUUCCCUCCUCCACCCUCCCUCCAUUAUCCGCUCAAGCAGUGAAGAGAAAGAGAAAAGACAGCACUCAAUCCCCCAAAACUCAUCGGAGACACUAGAUCAUCGGAAAAACCAGGAGCAGAACGAAACACAGGCCUUCUCUACGGCUCCCUCACCUUCUACCCCUCUCCU
rnacentral:lncRNA from 1 species